ensembl:ncRNA R03H4.11 ncRNA
GAUAAAUAAGUACUAAUAAAAUAGCAACACCUCGCAGGCAUUGAAUAUCUUGUCUCAUUUUUGUUGAGAAAGUGGGGAAAUUAUUUUGACCCUCUGCACCUUUAUACAAAUUGUAAUCUGGGACAGUGUUGCGUUGACUUGAAAAGAAUUAUGCAAAUUGCGACAUGAUGUAACAGAGAUGGCUUCGUUGAUUUUCUGGGUCAAUAGUUUUUUUCCCUAAGGAAAGCUUUUAUAGUCUGAGACAAAUGAUCUUUAAGUUCAAACAACAAACUUUAAUUGUCAUUCAAAAUACGAUU